GUGUCUCUGUGUUGCGGUGUGGUGGUGCCCAGGAACUUGAAACUGGGACUCUGCUAUAGCUGAGUCCACAGCCUGAAUGGCUGUAAGAAGCAUGGUACAAAAUGGUCCACCACUAUUGCAGGAACAUUCAUAUCAGCAUGAAGUUGUAACCCUGAAAAGGAAAAUCAGAAUACUUAUAUGGCAAUUGUUUGACUUCUCGUUAACAGGAGGAAUUAAAGAGGUACUGCACACAGUAUGUUCUUCAAAGACUACUUCCACCUUUUUGAAGAGGAUCUUGGCAGCGGAAUAUAUUCAUAUGAUUAAAUGGUACCGACAGAGAUGGAUAGGAACUCUAUGUAUCUGGAGUACCUUUAAAGAUGUUGGUCUGGAGAGGAAUGAUGACGUAUGUUUCUGGGAAAAACACAUCUGGGCAUUUACCUUGCUGCAUCUGUGA
ensembl:lncRNA